AUGGAAGGAGGCGUCACGGCCAGCUCAUUUCACAAAAGGGUCGCCGUGGUGACCGGAGCCAACAGAGGGAUCGGGCUGGAGGUAUGCAGGCAGCUCGCGUCCGGUGGCGCGACGGUCGUCCUCACGGCCAGGGACGAGAAGCGGGGCGCCGCGGCGGUCGACGCGCUCCGGGAGCUCGGGCUGCCGGACGUCCUGUUCCAUCAGCUGGACGUCGGCGAGCCGUCGAGCGCCGCUCGCCUGGCCGACUUCGUCAGGGAUAGGUUUGGCAAGCUGGACAUACUGGUCAAUAACGCGGGAGUCUCCGGGGUGAGAAUGGACAUCGGAGACCCGGCAGCUCUUCACCAAGUGCGUACAAGCAUGAGUGCAGUGGAGAGGCUCGAGUGGUUCAACCAGAGGACGACAGAGCCUUUCGAGGAGGCAGAAGAAUGCCUAAGGACAAACUACCAUGGCACCAAAAACGUGACGGAGGCGCUGCUUCCUCUGCUCCUAUCCUCCUCUGAUGCAAGGGUUGUCAACGUCUCCUCUUCUUAUGGGUUACUAAGGUUUUUCAGCAGAGAGGAGCUUAAACACGAGCUUGACGACAUCGACAACCUGUCCACGGAGAGGUUGGACGAACUGUCAGAACUGUUUCUCAAGGACUUCAAGAAUGGUCGGCUGGAUCACCAUGGAUGGCCAGUUGCAGGGUUCUCAGCCUACAAAGUGUCCAAGGCCCUGAUCAAUGCUUACACAAGAGUUCUUGCCAAGAAGCACACCUCGAUGCGCGUCAAUUGUUUAGAUCCUGGCUAUGUUAAGACAGACAUCAAUUUCCACACCGGGGUUCUGACCGUGGAGGAAGGCGCAAGAGGCGCUAUGAUGCUGGCACACUUGCCCAAGGAAGGGCCGACGGGAUCCUACUUCAAUGGCACAGAACAAGCACCCUUCGUGUAG
rnacentral:rRNA from 1 species